GAGGGGAUAGCUCAGUGGUAGAGUGCGUGCCUAUCAUGCGUGAGGUCCCGGGUUCAAUUCCCAGUACGUCCA
rnacentral:tRNA from 1 species